rnacentral:misc_RNA from 1 species
AAGUCGUAACAAGGUUUCCGUAGGUGAACCUGCGGAAGGAUCAUUAACACGUAUCCAACGUUAAACCCCCCGUGCACCUUCACAGAGCGCGCCGCUCCUCUCGACAACAGCAAUCCUGGUAAAUCAGUGGGCGAAAAGUCUUUGAUUCAGGACCUCUGAAGUUGUAAGCAGGUGGUUUGAGCCUUCUAUCGCCAGUCUGGAGUCCUGGCCGGGCGGAUGAAAGUGUCGCUAGACGGUUUCUAGGGUAAGGCUUCUCCAUCGCCGGUGCCCCUUUACGACGACCAAGUUAAAUUAGGCCUCUACCACAUAGCAAGUGCGCCGUGGUAGAGGAAAACGUACAACUGUUAACAAUGGAUAUCUUGGUUCUC